rnacentral:rRNA from 1 species
GCAACUUUCAGCAGUGGAUGUCUAGGCUCGCGCAUCGAUGAAGAACGCAGCGAACUGCGAUACGUAAUGCGAAUUGCAGGAUUCAGUGAGUCAUCGAAAUUUUGAACGCAUAUUGCACUUCCGGGUUAUCCCUGGGAGUAUGCCUGUAUCAGUGUCCGUA